UUAAGAGCGUGUCGUUUAUGGGUUUUGUGAAUUUCAAGUUUUUAUGUUAUGUCGCUAUAUUAUAUGAUUUUUGUAAUUUUGGUUAUAGGCUAAGGAGUUUAGAAGGUUUGCGGAUAAUAUGGUACAACUUGGAAAAGAGUUCUGACUUUAGGUUGGUGAUUUGAGUGACUCAAUGUUGUCAAUUGCGAAAAAAAGUUGUUUGAUCAAAUUCCACUAUGCUAUAGUGUUACAGUGCCGCAGUAGCGGUUAUCUGACACCAGUAAGCUAGCUUCACUGCACAAAAGCAAGCUAGCUUCAGGAUUCUGUUUUACAAACUAAUGAAACCGAAAGUGAUAGUAGUGUGUCAGUCCAGACAAAUAAUUCAUUAAAUGAUGUAUUCACCAAAUGGAGCCAAUCCAAACAUAACUCUUGGGGCGGACGGCCAAGGUCAGCAGAUGGUUAGAUCAGUUGGGUCCCCAACAGCUCUAACGCAGGAACUUCUUGGGGCAUACUUUGUUAACUGAACACAUACACAACUUGUCCUAGAAAUGCAAAAUAUUUAGUUUAUCUUCAGUGGUUCUGCUUUCAAUAUUGUCCAAAGUGAUGCCAAUGUAUUUCAGCUGUUGUAUAGGCAUUUCCAGCUUAGCUUAAGUUCGAAAUCAGAUUUUCACUGGCUAAAAUCAUUCAAAAUGAACUGUAAAAUGUGGAGUCUAGCCAAAAGUGCAUUUUAAGUUUUAAAAGGAUCUAACUUGCAA